CUCCAGUGCACUUGCAUUUUGCAACUCCAUGUUCACUGACCCCUACCAUUCAAUAAGACAUACAACAAUUCACAUAGCAAGCAGUAUAUCAAUAUUUGUUAUAAAUACACAUAUUAUUACACAGUAGCACACGCAUCUGUAUAUACGUAACUGGUAAUAUGGUUCACAUACAUACGACACUUAAUGGGUUAAGAUUGAUACAUAUUUAACCAGUAUGGAUAUGAUGUUUAAUAUUUACAUAUCACGGCACUUUACUUUUACAUAUACUGUAUGUUUUAAGAUAAGCUUGGUCUAUGCCAUAUUUCCUUAUGCCAUACGAUUUUAUCCAUUCAGGUUAUAGUUACUACUAAAAAACCUAUACGGAUUGUCAGGUUCAAUACCAUACUACCAGGUACGUACACCUGCUCACGUAGUUAUCCAUCUCUUACCUUCCCUGGAAUAGUAAUAGUGUACCGGCAAUUAGGGUUCUAGGGCCCAA